rnacentral:rRNA from 1 species
GAUGAACGCUAGCUACAGGCUUAACACAUGCAAGUCGUGGGGCAGCGGAUACUUAGCUUGCUAAGUAUGCCGGCGACCGGCGCACGGGUGAGUAACGCGUACCGAACCUGCCCAUCACACAGGGAUAGGCUUGCGAAAGCAAGAUUAAUAUCUGAUGGUCUCAGUUGUAUGCAUGUAUGAUUGAGUAAAGCCUUCGGGCGGUGAUGGAUGGCGGUGCGUCCCAUUAGGAAGUUGGCGGGGUAACGGCCCACCAAUCCUUCGAUGGGUAGGGGUUCUGAGAGGAAGGUCCCCCACAUUGGAACUGAGAUACGGUCCAAACUCCUACGGGAGGCAGCAGUGAGGAAUAUUGGUCAAUGGGCGAGAGCCUGAACCAGCCAAGUAGCGUGCGGGAUGAAGGCCCUUGUGGUCGUAAACCGCUUUUAUCAGUGAAUAAAGUGCACCACGUGUGGUGUCAUUGCAGGUAGCUGAAGAAAAAGGACCGGCUAAUUCCGUGCCAGCAGCCGCGGUAAUACGGAAGGUCCGGGCGUUAUCCGGAAUUAUUGGGUUUAAAGGGAGCGCAGGCGGGAGUAUAAGUCAGCUGUUAAAUAUCAGGGCCCAACUCUGUUAUGCAGUUGAAACUAUAUUUCUUGAGUACGCACAGGGAUGGCGGAAUUCAGGGUGUAGCGGUGAAAUGCUUAGAUAUCCUGAAGAACUCCGAUCGCGAAGGCAGCCAUCCGGAGCGUAACUGACGCUGAGGCUCGAAGGUGCGGGUAUCGAACAGG